CUCUUAUUUUUCUUUAUCUCACUUUCUCCUUCUUCAACACUUCCUGUAGGGGUUGUGUUGUCAACAACCCAAAUAUUUUUGACCACAUCCUCUCUGCGGAUCUCCUCAAUGCUAGGCAUCAAGAGGAUUGGUUUGUCGUACAAUUUUUCUACUGAUUUUCAUAGCUUGGAUAACUCGGCCGAUACACCUGCUAGGUUUGGGGACUGGACGACCUCAAGAUACCGAGUAAUCUUUUACUCAAACUGAUCAAGACUUGCCUGCAUAGUCCUCAUUUCUUCAGUCAGCCCUUUCUCAACCCAUGGUUUUACUCCACCCUCUAUAUGUUGCACCUUUGUCUCCAUAUUACUCAACCUCUUCAUCAUCUCAAUUAGAAAUGACUGCAACACCAUUACGUAGCCAAUUAGACCCAACUUAGUUGUGGAUAGUCAUGGUGUCGUAGUAGGUAGUAGAGUAGGAGUAUCGGAGGUUCUUGCUAUAUCUGAGGCCUGAGGUUCAGAUUGGACAGUCUCAGUAGGGGUAUCACCCCUCUCAGUAUCUUCUCUCUACCCUUGGGCCUUAUAAGCAUCACUCAAAAUAAUAGAUGCCAGCUUGGACAUCUUGGAUCUUGGGUUGGUGACGUCUUUGAUCAACCCUAAGUCUGUAGUGGUCCUUGUCCUCAAGAAUCGAUUGAUGUCUGGGAGCUCUAGCAUACUCGCGUCCAGAUAUUUUUGAGUCAAUAAGUAGGGGAAGGCCAAUACUGUAUCGGUGCCAGUGGCCCUAUCCCUGAUCUCACUAGCUAUUCACUUGGCUAUAUCAAUCUUGUAUCCUAACAUUAUGCCUACUAUCAGUGCUGCCUAUUCUAGACUCACGAUAUAGCCCGACAAAUUCAGACUCAACCUAUUUCUAGCUAGGGUCCACCACGCUUUGCCCUGAAAGUUCAGGCUGUUCUUCUUGAUUGAUGAUGAAUUCUCGAUGUCACUAACUGUCCAUAGGGCCUCUUCCCAAGCUAAAGCAAUAGUUUUGUCCAUCCAUCAAAACUGAACAAGCUUAUCUUUCGAACCUAUCUAUUUAACCUUCACUUUAUUUAUCUCAUCUAUGCGAAAGUCUAAUUUUGCGGUGCUGGCCAAAAGUAUAAAUUCUAGCCUAUGUAAUAUCCGGGAGAAUGUUUGAGCUGAGAUGUUCACUCGAACACCUCAAAUCACCAAGUCUGAUAUUGGGUCUGCACCUCUCUAAGGUUUCCUUGCAGAUUUUUCCUUUUUAAUUCCAUCUGACACGCAACAUAAAAAUCAUAUAUUAACUAGCCUAGUUUUCUAGUCAUCCACUCAAACUUGUAAUUCUUGAACCGUGCCUUAAACGCGGGCAUCUCAGUCAUGCCAGUAGUAGUCAAUUGUCCCUCAAGAUAAAUACUUCUCAGGGGUUUACGAUUUUCAAGAUUUAUGGCAUUGUGUUUUUCAUAUAGUUCCUGUAUUUUGGGGUACCCCUACCAUUUAAUGAUGGGCAUCAGAGCAGGAUGGAUGGAUAGUAGAGUGAUAGGUACUUGUAGUGAUGGCAUUACUCUGACUGGGCUGUCACUCUCCCUACUCUCCCUUCUUCUUCAGUUGAAGACCCGUCAUCAUUCUUAUUUUUAUCCUCGGACCCUAAUUCUUCUCCACCAUCAGAACCCGAUUCUUCCUUACCAGAAUCCUCACCAUUAUCUUUAUCAUCAUUAUCAUCAUCUUCCUCAUCGAAGGAUGUUGGUGAAUGGGAUGGUGAGAAAGGUAAAUUCUUUAGAGGUUCAACUGGUAUGCUUAAUAGUUCUUGAUCAAGGUGACUUAGAAUAUGAUUUAUUAGACUAAAUUCCUUAAAUGAUUCUCAAACACUUAGACUAAUAUGCAUUAAAAAGGUGACUUGUGUUGUAUGAUCAAAUUUGAUCUAAGUUGGGGUAAAAUUAUAGAAAUUAAACUCGAAGUCUGAUAAAUCUAUGUUAAUCUCAAGUUUGAACUCAUGAGUCCAACCCACGACACGUUAGUUGCAUUCACCAAUUUUGGAUUGGAGUCAUUGAAAUCAGACCUGGGAUUUUGAAACUCAGAAACUUGGUUUGACUCUCAUGAGUCAAGUCAUGAAUCAUGAAUUAAGUCUAUAAGUCAUGGAUUGAACUCAAGAACUGGAUUAUCAGUUCACGAUCCUAGUUCUUGAAUUAUGAGCUCACUCGGCGAGUCGUGGACCAGACCCGUGGAUGGGACCUAAUAGUUUAUUUGUUUUUCAAUCUUUUCUAGCUGAUAUAGUUUAAGUACUAAUGCUUUUCAAUACAGGUACCAUGGCACCAAUGGAAAAACAAAAGAAGGUCCUAUAGUCAAGACUGUGCCCUGAGUCUUUCACAUGGAAUGGGUCAAUGGAGGGGUACUCAAUUGAUAGUUCACCAUUAGUAUUAUGCCAGACAUGGCGCCAGACUCAGAGAGAUGCUGCAGCAAAGGUUUCCAUACAAUUGACAUCUCAUCCAUCAUCUGCUCAGCCUGUACCAUAGCCUAGGCCUCAAGCCCCACUUGGUCUUAUUGGUCGGGCCAAGCCCUGGAUGAAAAAUGCACAAAAAUCACUGUUGCACUCUCUUUUUCCUCCUCAAUCUGAUAAGUGAGAGGAGGUAUCUACUUUUGGUAAUAGUGAGGAGGACACAACCACUCCCCAGUCAAGAAAAGGGAUAGAAUCAACUAAGUCCGCUAGCGGUGAGAGAGACAUAAAUGCUCCCCAUUUUGAAAAAAGUGUAGAGUCUUCAGAGCAUGAUGAGGAUGUGACUACAUCGACUCCAGUCACAGUGGUCUAAGAGUCCACGCGCACCUCUAUUAUGCCAGCAGCUCCUGAGAUUUAGAGGCGGUGUAUAGAGAAUAUGCAGUACAUAUAUGAUCAGGACAUUGAGAUGACUGAUUAGGCUAGUCCUAUAUGGAGUAUUACUGAGGAGCCUCGUAUCAGGACUUCAGACUUGGCAGGGAUCCUAUAUAUUAAAGCCACCUUUAAGAGAUAAAAACUCGAAUGAUGGGUGAGCCUUCUGGAUCUUAUAGCCUGGAGCUAGUUCAUGAGUUUUACACUUCCUAUGAUGCCUCAAUAGAUUUGAUCACACCAGUAGCGUAGAGAGCUCGAUACCAACCUUCGCUGGCCUAUACAGAAGUGAGAGAGACUUGGCUUGACUUAUAUGAGCAAAUGAUUUGGAGAUUCUUAUUUGGGUUGGGUUAUGAUAUGUAGAUGACUACUGUUGAGUUCGAUUAUAGGAUGUCAAAAGUGAGGAGCCAUUGAACGAUAAAGGAUCUAGAGCAGCGGAGAAAGUUGAUGAGUUAGGAGGCUUGAUUAAUUACUGAGCACGGUAUUGCUGCCUCUUGGGUAGAAGGGUAGGCAGAGAUCAAGAAGUUUACCCUGAACUUGUAGGGAAGUAUGGGUAGUCCAUAGUUCGACACAGGUCAUGGCCCAUAGGUGAAGAUAACACACUCACUUUGGAAUGGGUUAUACUUGUGUCCAGUAUCAUAACUGGGUAUGAUAUAGACUUUUCCUGAUACACUUGAGAUGAGAUCCAUGAGAAAGAUUUUAGAUAGAUCACCCGUAUACUAUUCCCCUACUUAAUUUAGAGGCUAUGUGAUACAGUGGGAGUACCGACAUUACUCGGUAUAGAUCAUCCGAUUAAGGCACAACCCAGUUGCACUAAAAAGGCACAACGUUUUACCUCUUCUAGAGCAACUAUUUUUGACGGGUUUUUAGAGUUAGACAACAGGGUAGACAUGCCAGUAUUAUGUGGUGAUAUUAGAUGGGUAGCUUUUCGAUAGUGGGUUCAAUUGCUACAGUUAAUGAGGAGGUAUCAGGCACUACAAUUCCAUUGUCUACAUCUAAAAUGCCCCUUGACCACCUACUUCGGGUAUGGUAACAGACUCUCCAGAGUUUUUGUAGUAGUUGGUGGAUAAGUCGGAGUUAGCAGAGUGCUAGAUUCACACCAACACCUAGUUGGCCAAGUUAAUUGGUCAAAUUUGGCCAUGGGUGCAGAAUAUUUUAGAGACACCGGAGGCGUAGGUUGAGUCUUGGAUGAUUACCACUAUGGAGCAGUUUACUAGAGAUAUGUAUGAAGGAUUAGAUAGUUUUGGUAUCCAAAUUAGGGAGAGACUCCUCGAGGCUUGGGUUCCUAAUUUAUUGAGUCUUCGUGAGGAGGUGGCCACACUAAGUUUAGAGAUUUGUACAUUAGUUGAGAGCCACACUUCUGUCAUCCCACAAUCAUACCUCUAAUUUCAUAGCCAGUGCCUACACCACCACCUUUGAUUUUUAACUUGUUCGUGGAUGAUGAUGAUCUCCCGACUAUAAGGACAAGAAAGGACAUGAGCUCGCUGAGCAAAAUAAUAGUUAGAUGAUUUUGAGGGAGAAUAAUAGUUAGAUGAUUUUGAGGGAGAUAUAAAUUGCAUAGCCAUAGAGUCUGUUACCCAAUUUCAUGUUGACAAGAGUGAGCGCAAACAACACACGUUUGAGAGCCUCCUAUAGUCAUCCACCAUCACCUCCUGGCACUGUGCUCGACAUGCCUUCUGAUGCCUCAGCUGGGGGCGAGUCCAUAUCUGACACCUAGAGCAACUCAGAAAAAUAGGUUUCAGGGCCAAACCUGAGAAAGAAGGAUGAAGAGUGGCUAAAUUGAUGACCCACGAGUUGACCUACAACUCGUGGGUUAGACCUAUACCUCAUGAGUUGGGGGGCAUGAUUUGAGUUCUGAAGAUGCUUUGGAAAGUCUGAGUUCCACAAGGGGACCCAUGAAUCAUAAAUGCAACAUACGACUCGUGGAUGGAAGGUAUAAGUCGAUUAUUGAAAGUUGAAUCCAACUUUGAUUCCUAUUAUUGAGAGCUACGACUCGUGAGUCUGUUACAAGACCUAACCCACGAGUCGUGGAAUGCCACCGACCUGCUUUUCCAACACAAUUUAGGAUAGGAUUUAUUUUGUAUUUAUAUAAUCCCUUGAUGUUGUAUUAUUAGUUUACGCACUUUAUAUACUUUUUUACAUUAUUUUAAGAUCUGAGAUACAUUAUUGAUC